rnacentral:rRNA from 1 species
CAGCAGCCGCGGUAAUACAGAGGGUGCAAGCGUUAAUUGGAAUUACUGGGCGUAAAGCGCGCGUAGGUGGUUUGUUAAGUUGGAUGUGAAAUCCCCGGGCUCAACCUGGGAACUGCAUUCAAAACUGACUGACUAGAGUAUGGUAGAGGGUGGUGGAAUUUCCUGUGUAGCGGUGAAAUGCGUAGAUAUAGGAAGGAACACCAGUGGCGAAGGCGACCACCUGGACUAAUACUGACACUGAGGUGCGAAAGCGUGGGGAGCAAACAGGAUUAGAUACCCGCGUAGUCCCUGUCUCUUAUAC